rnacentral:rRNA from 1 species
AAACUUGAGAGUUUGAUCAUGGCUCAGAACGUACGCUGGCGGCACGCCUAACACAUGCAAGUCGAACGCAGUAGCAAUACUGAGUGGCGAACGGGUGAGUAUAAUGUAGGUAUCUGCCUUUUGGUUUGGAAUAACACGAGGAAACUUGUGCUAAUACCGGAUAAGCCUUCACAGGGAAAGUUUUAACGCCAAAAGAUGAGCCUGCACUUGAUUAGCUAGUUGGUAAGGUAAUGGCUUACCAAGGCUACGAUCAAUAGCUGUUCUUAGAGGAAGAUCAGCCACAUUGGGACUGAGACACGGCCCAAACUCCUACGGGAGGCAGCAGUGGGGAAUCUUGCACAAUGGGGGAAACCCUGAUGCAGCGAUGCCGCGUGAGUGAAGAAGGCCUUUGGGUUGUAAAGCUCUUUCGUCGGGGAAGAAAAUGACUGUACCCGAAUAAGAAGGUCCGGCUAACUUCGUGCCAGCAGCCGCGGUAAUACGAAGGGACCUAGCGUAGUUCGGAAUUACUGGGCUUAAAGAGCACGUAGGUGGUUAAGAAAGUUGGUGGUGAAAUCCCAAGGCUUAACCUUGGAACUGCCACCAAAACUUUUUAGCUAGAGUAUGAUUGAGGUAAGCGGAAUUUCUAGUGUAGAGGUGAAAUUCGUAGAUAUU